rnacentral:precursor_RNA from 15 species
GGGCUGGAGGCUGGCUGAGGCUGUAUGCUGUUAAUGCUAAUCGUGAUAGGGGUUUUUACCUCAACUGACUCCUACAUGUUAGCAUUAACAGGGUAUGACGCCUGUUACUAGCAUUCACAU